rnacentral:rRNA from 1 species
UACGUAGGGUGCAAGCGUUAAUCGGAAUUACUGGGCGUAAAGCGUGCGCAGGCGGCUAUGCAAGACAGAUGUGAAAUCCCCGGGCUCAACCUGGGAACUGCAUUUGUGACUGCAUAGCUAGAGUACGGUAGAGGGGGAUGGAAUUCCGCGUGUAGCAGUGAAAUGCGUAGAUAUGCGGAGGAACACCGAUGGCGAAGGCAAUCCCCUGGACCUGUACUGACGCUCAUGCACGAAAGCCGUGGGGAGCAAACGAGG